UAAAAGAAAACUAUUAUAUCCCUUAUCGUUCUCUCCGACUCUCUCAUUUCCAAAAUCUAUUGCCGCUGUUAAAAACCCGAUGAUCAAUUACAUAGUUUUCAUGCCUUUCAUUUUUCGUUUUGGGGUUUAUUUUGUUCGUCAUGUUAAUCUUGGUGAUGUUCUCCAUGAUUUUUAAUUUCAUUUCGUUCCCUGGGAAGAUGAAUCAACAAUUUUUGGGAAUAAAAAUCAGAUUACAGUGAAACAGUCAUGGGGGAAUGGUGGCAUAAGGGAUUAGGUUUGCUGAUAAUGUUGUUGAAGCAAUCGUCAUUUGGUCAAGGAAUUUCAUCGAUCUCUCAAAAUUCACUAGGGUCAGCCAGCCAUGGUCUUUGUCCUUUUGUUGCUUCUUCGUAGGUUACAUCGCGCCGCUCAGUCAUGUAACUGGACUAUGUAAGUUUUAUAUUCUCUUUCACACCAAACUCGGUUGGCUUAUUUUUGUUAUUUUCUCAUUUGCUAAAUAAAAUUGUGGGUUUUAUCCUCUGCCAGAUAUAGUCAUCCUCUCCAUAUAAUUGAUUUUCGCCUUUCAAUGUCCCUUUCACUAGAUUUACACUUAGGCUUACAUUUUCCAGUAGGUAUUUCCUCCGGACUAUCUCUGUUCUUAAUUUUAGCUAGAUUUGUUAAUGUAUCACUCAAUUUAAUUCAAGACCUUUGAGUACAUGAGAUAAUUGUUACCCUUACUGGCUUACUAUAGCAUCACAUAUCCCAUAGUGAUUCAAAAAAAAAGCUAUAGGGUUUUUAGGAUGACAUAAUCUAUUAAUCAACUACAGUUCUUUUGAAACCGUACCAACUGUAUAUUACUUUGAUUUGUUAUUUACAUCAUUUGUCUGCUGCACUUACAUCCACAGAUCUGCAUGUUUCAGUUUUAUAUGAUAUACUUAUUUGUUCUCUUAGGUUUUGACCUGUUAAAAUAUCACCACCGUUUUAAGAUCCUUUGUCUCUUAGUCUCUUUCUUUCACUACGAUACAUAAUAGAUCAUUGACAUACUACGUUAGGGCUACAACAUUACUAUAAAGAAUAGUUGCAUUCAAAUUUUAUGAAUAAUUCUGAAAAUGACAAAAUGACAUCAAGUAUAUGAUAUUUUGUUAGUCAUCAUCUUAGUUUUUUACAGUUAGUAGGUUCGUAUUCAAGAAGUGUCAAUGAAGAGAAUUUGAUUCAGCAAUGAGUCAUCAAGGAUGGCAAUAUGUUACCGAGGAUUUGCAAGUAUAGUGCGUGUUUCACUAGCAAAGGCCGAAGGUCUCUUUGGAAUGAUUGAGAAUCUUUACAUCGUUGGUGAAAAACUUAAGCUGUCAACCCAACUUGGCAAUGUUAAAUGAAAUAAGUUGAGGUCCAAGCAGAAGAUGGCACUGAUCCGAUGUGUUUGAAACUGUUCCAAAUAGCAUAAAACUCAGGUGUUUGCUGAACAUCGCAACAAACAUGACAAAAGAAUUCCAUCAUGGGAAUGAACGCAUCGGUGAAUGCUAAUUAUUUGGUUGUGUUUACCUAAGUUUGUCAAUGAAUUCAACCGCACAACUCCUAGCUCUAUAGAGUUGACCAUUUGUCCAUGAAAUAUUUAUUUUCAGUUCUUAAAUCAGCAGUAAAGUGACUCUUAUAACGGUUGUUAAGUUCCUUUGGUUAUCUGUCUUAUUUUAUUUGUACCUACAUGCUGCAACAAAGUACGCAUGUAUAUGUAUCCUAAUGGUGAUGGUAAAUUUUUUUUACUGAGCCUAGCAUCAUUGUUCCUUUAAUUAUUGCAAACUUUGUUUGAAGUACACUGGGUAUCACUUUCUUAAUAAAUUUAUAAGGAAAACAUA